rnacentral:rRNA from 1 species
UACGUAGGCAGCGAGCGUUGUUCGGAGUUACUGGGCGUAAAGGGUGUGUAGGCGGUUGUUUAAGUUUGGUGUGAAAUCUCCCGGCUCAACUGGGAGGGUGCGCCGAAUACUGAAUGACUUGGAGUGCGGGAGAGGAAAGUGGAAUUCCUGGUGUAGCGGUGAAAUGCGUAGAUAUCAGGAGGAACACCGGUGGUGUAGACGGCUUACUGGACCAUAACUGACGCUGAGACACGAAAGCGUGGGUAGCAAACAGG